UGGGGAAUAUUGCACAAUGGGAGCAAGCCUGAUGCAGCCAUGCCGCGUGUAUGAAGAAGGCCUUCGGGUUGUAAAGUACUUUCAGCGAGGAGGAAGGCGUUGUGGUUAAUAACCGCAACGAUUGACGUUACUCGCAGAAGAAGCACCGGCUAACUCCGUGCCAGCAGCCGCGGUAAUACGGAGGGUGCAAGCGUUAAUCGGAAUUACUGGGCGUAAAGCGCACGCAGGCGGUCUGUCAAGUCGGAUGUGAAAUCCCCGGGCUCAACCUGGGAACUGCAUCCGAAACUGGCAGGCUAGAGUCUUGUAGAGAGGGGUAGAAUUCCAGGUGUAGCGGUGAAAUGCGUAGAGAUCUGGAGGAAUACCGGUGGCGAAGGCGGCCCCCUGGACAAAGACUGACGCUCAGGUGCGAAAGCGUGGGGAGCAAACA
rnacentral:rRNA from 1 species